rnacentral:rRNA from 1 species
AAUCAACGCUGGCGGCGUGCCUAACACAUGCAAGUCGCACGAGAAAGGGCUUUCGGGCCCGAGUAAAGUGGCGCACGGGUGAGUAACACGUGACUAAUCUACCUUCGAGUGGGGAAUAACCUAGGGAAACCUGGGCUAAUACCGCAUAACACUUACGAGUCAAAGCAGCAAUGCGCUUGAAGAGGAGGUCGCGGCAGAUUAGCUAGUUGGCGGGGUAAUGCCCACCAAGGCAAUGAUCUGUAUCCGGCCUGAGAGGGCGGCACGGACACACUGGAACUGAAACAACGGUCCAGACUCCUACGGGAGGGCAGCAGUGGGGAAGUUUU